CUUCUUCGACCCGCUCACUCCUCCUCCCAGAGCGGGAUCGAUUGGCCAACGACACUCCUCCUCCCAGUCGUUGGUCUGCAAAAAUGACGCUCACCGGACCUCCUCCCCCGGUGAGCGUUAUUU
rnacentral:sRNA from 1 species